UAAGGAAUAUUGGUCAAUGGACGCAAGUCUGAACCAGCCAUGCCGCGUGGAGGAUUAAGGCCCUCUGGGUUGUAAACUCCUUUUAUCUGGGAAGAAAUGUACUUUUUCUUGAGUACUCGACGGUACCAGAGGAAUAAGCACCGGCUAACUCCGUGCCAGCAGCCGCGGUAAUACGGAGGGUGCAAGCGUUAUCCGGAUUCACUGGGUUUAAAGGGUGCGUAGGUGGGCAGGUAAGUCAGUGGUGAAAUCUCCGGGCUUAACCCGGAAACUGCCGUUGAUACUAUUUGUCUUGAAUAUUGUGGAGGUAAGCGGAAUAUGUCAUGUAGCGGUGAAAUGCUUAGAUAUGACAUAGAACACCAAUUGCGAAGGCAGCUUACUACACAAUCAUUGACGCUGAGGCACGAAAGCGUGGGGAUCAAACA
rnacentral:rRNA from 1 species